CGGUAAUUCCAGCUCCAAUAGCGUAUAUUAAAGUUGUUGCGGUUAAAACGCUCGUAGUUGGAGUUCUGCCAAAAGUGGCCGGUCUACCCUCCGUGGUUUGCACAGGGCAACUUUCGGCAUCAUCCUGGGAAACUUGUAUGCACUUUACUGUGUGACCUUGGGAUCCAGGACUUUUACCUUGAAGAAAUGAGAGUGUUUCAAGCAGGCGAAUGCCUUGAAUACGUUAGCAUGGAAUAAUAGCAUCGGACCUCUUCCCAACGCUGUUGGUUCAUUGGAGUGAGGUAAUGAUAAACAGGGAUAGCUGGGGGCAUUCGUAUUUAACUGUCAGAGGUGAAAUUCUUGGAUUUGUUAAAGACGAACUACUGCGAAAGCAUCUGCCAAGGAUGUUCUCAUUGAUCAAGAACGAAAGUUAGGGGAUCGAAGACGAUCAGAUACCGUCCUAGUCUUAACCAUAAACUAUGCCGACUAGAGAUUGGGGGUAGUACAUUAUUUUGACUCCUCCAGCAUCUUGGGAGAAAUCAGAGUCUUUGGGUUCCGGGGGGAGUAUGGUCGCAAGGCUGAAACUUAAAGGAAUUGACGGAAGGGCACCACCAGGAGUGGAGCCUGCGGCUUAAUUUGACUCAACACGGGGAAACUUACCAGGUCCAGACAUAGUAAGGAUUGACAGACUGAAAGCUCUUUCUUGAUUCUAUGGGUGGUGGUGCAUGGCCGUUCUUAGUUGGUGGAGUGAUUUGUCAGGUUAAUUCCGUUAACGAACGAGACCUUAGCCUGUUAAAUAGUGUCCAGGACCAUUGCUUCUAGGUGAUCACUUCUUAGAGGGACUUCAUGGCUUUAACAUGAGGAAGUGUGAGGCAAUAACAGGUCUGUGAUGCCCUUAGAUGUCCUGGGCUGCACGCGCGCUACACUGAUGCGUUCAACAAGUAUAGAACCUUUUCUUGGAAGGAAUAGGUAAUCUUGUUAAAUCGCAUCGUGAUGGGGAUAGUUUAUUGCAAUUUUUAAUCUUCAACGAGGAAUUCCUAGUAACCGUGAGUCAUCAACUUGCGAUGACUACGUCCCUGCCCUUUGUACACACCGCCCGUCGCUCCUACCGAUUGAGUGGUCCGGUGAAUAAUUCGGACUGCGAUUUUUUCCGUCAGGAUAUUUUUGCAGGAAAUCUAGUGAACCUUAUCACUUAGAGGAAGGAGAAGUCGUAACAAGGUAACC
rnacentral:rRNA from 1 species